UUCAAUUUUCUGAGCUAUUCCACCAGAAUUCUCACAUUUCCCUGCUGUCAGCAUUCUAUUCUUCCAGUCUUCUGCUGGCUUUUAGCUUUGUUGUUGUCGCCCUUGUUGUUUGAUUAAUUUGUUUUCAAAAGAAACGAAUUCUCGGAAAUUCUACGAAUGCAUUCCAGUGUGUUGGCUCUGGUGUGUGCAUUCUGCUCCACAGAAUCCGAAUCCGAACCCGAAUCUGAUUGUGGAUCUGGAUCUGAAUCCCCUUGGAAGCGUUCUAAAUUUGCGGAUGUUUACAAGCUUGGCACCCAAAAAAGAAGACAACGCAAACAUCGCACCAUUCUAGCACUGAAAAUAAAAUUAACCAUAUUCUAAUUUAAUACCUUCAUGUAAAAGCACAUCUAGCGCAAAACUUAAAGACUUGUAAUCAAUAUCUAUAAUAUAGAAUCCCGAAAAUCA